rnacentral:rRNA from 1 species
GAGGAAGGAGAAGUCCGAACAAGGUUUCCGUAGGUGAACCUGCGGAAGGAUCAUUG